rnacentral:rRNA from 1 species
CUACGGGAGGCUCCAGUGGGGAAUAUUGCACAAUGGGGGAAACCCUGAUGCAGCGACGCCGCGUGAACGAUGAAGUAUUUCGGUAUGUAAAGUUCUAUCAGCAGGGAAGAUAAUGACGGUACCUGACUAAGAAGCACCGGCUAAAUACGUGCCAGCAGCCGCGGUAAUAUGUAUGGUGCAAGCGUUAUCCGGAUUUACUGGGUGUAAAGGGUGCGUAGGUGGUAUGGCAAGUCAGAAGUGAAAGCACGGGGCUCAACCCCGUAACUGCUUUUGAAACUGUCAAACUAGAGUGCAGGAGAGGAAAGCGGAAUUCCUAGUGUAGCGGUGAAAUGCGUAGAUAUUAGGAGGAACACCAGUGGCGAAGGCGGCUUUCUGGACUGUAACUGACACUGAGGCACGAAAGCGUGGGGAGCAAACAGGAUUAGAUACCCGCGUAGUC